UGAACCGCUCUGGUGUGGUUUAAAAACCGUCCUACAUUUUAAUAUAAGAAAAUUGGUCAUUUUUUUGUUUUUUUUUUCUGUAAUUGUACUCAUUUUUUUUUUAAUUUAAUUAUUAUGUAGCACGGUAUAUACUUGCAAAAUAGACAUAAUCACUAAGAUGGAGGUGCAAUCAAAGUCGAUGAACAAAGUUGUGGUUUUGUUAAUCGAUAAAGUGUGUAUUGUCCAUUCAUAAAUUUUUCACUUGAGACAUUUAAAAUGAUAAUUUUCUCUGUAAAAUAAAUAUUAACGAUAAAUUAACUUGAAAUGAAAUAUUUUAGUUAUAACAUUACAAUCUUUUAUUAUUAAAUUUGAUAUAUUAAAUUUGGAAAAAAUUAACAGAAAUUAAAUACUUUAUUUUUAUCCGGACAAUGAAUUACAGUUAUCCGGACAAUGAACGACAGUUAAAAAAAAAAGCUAAAGUGAUGGAUAUUUAAUACUGUAACUGAAAAAUUUAGAAAUGAAAACAACAAAUAGUGUCGAUACGGAAGUAUAACUUCCUCGACAUGGCUGUAGUAUCAUUGUAGUGCUCAAAUCUCAGCACCUAGAUAAGUCGGACCUAAAUGUAGAUCCGAUACAACCUGACAGUAUACUUUUGGUACACUGAAAUAAGUAUCUCACGAUGGUAUAAAAGUAGACACACGACGGUAAUGUUCCUUCGGAAGCAGCAUAAUUCGAAUUUACAGUAGCUAUCAACAUAUUUAGUGGUCUACUUUCUUGAAUCAUGGUGCGUUUGAUGGUCGCAACGCGUGGUUGCCGUCCUG
rnacentral:misc_RNA from 1 species